GACGAACGCUGGCGGCGUGCCUAAUACAUGCAAGUAGAACGCUGAAGAGAGGAGCUUGCUCUUCUUGGAUGAGUUGCGAACGGGUGAGUAACGCGUAGGUAACCUGCCUUGUAGCGGGGGAUAACUAUUGGAAACGAUAGCUAAUACCGCAUAACAAUGGAUGACACAUGUCAUUUAUUUGAAAGGGGCAAUUGCUCCACUACAAGAUGGACCUGCGUUGUAUUAGCUAGUAGGUGAGGUAAUGGCUCACCUAGGCGACGAUACAUAGCCGACCUGAGAGGGUGAUCGGCCACACUGGGAAUGAGACACGGCCCAGACUCCUACGGGAGGCAGCAGUAGGGAAUCUUCGGCAAUGGGGGCAACCCUGACCGAGAAACGCCGCGUGAGUGAAGAAGGUUUUCGGAUCGUAAAGCUCUGUUGUAAGCCAAGAACGGGUGUGAGAGUGGAAAGUUCACAAUGUGACGGUAGCUUACCAGAAAGGGACGGCUAACUACGUG
rnacentral:rRNA from 1 species